AUUGAACGCUGGCGGCAUGCUUUACACAUGCAAGUCGAACGGUAACAGGCCGCAAGGUGCUGACGAGUGGCGAACGGGUGAGUAAUGCAUCGGAACGUGCCCAGUCGUGGGGGAUAACUACUCGAAAGAGUAGCUAAUACCGCAUACGAUCUAUGGAUGAAAGCGGGGGACCGUAAGGCCUCGCGCGAUUGGAGCGGCCGAUGUCAGAUUAGGUAGUUGGUGGGGUAAAGGCUCACCAAGCCAACGAUCUGUAGCUGGUCUGAGAGGACGACCAGCCACACUGGGACGGAGACACGGCCCAGACUCCUACGGGAGGCAGCAGGGGGGAAUUUUGGACAAAGGGCGCAAGCCUGAUCCAGCAAUGCCGCGUGCAGGAAGAAGGCCUUCGGGUUGUAAACUGCUUUUGUACGGAACGAAACGGCUCUGGUUAAUACCCGGGGCUAAUGACGGUACCGUAAGAAUAAGCACCGGCUAACUACGUG
rnacentral:rRNA from 1 species